rnacentral:lncRNA from 1 species
GUUAAUAGAAACGAAAUAAUCCUCUAACGAAAUUCUUCUGGUUUUGGUUUAGGAAAUGUGUGAUCCACACUACGACCCCGACGCGUUUUUGCCUUUGUGUCUUCCCCAAAACCUAUUUCUAUCCAACUCCAACCACAAUUUCUUUUUUCCACAAACCUUUCCGCUCUCCAAAUCCCCUGCAACAAUUCGAAUCAUUCACACUUGCUUACUCGGUAACAUUGUUUCUCCCUUCUUUGAUUUAUUUAUUUAUAUAUUAUUUUUGUAAUUAAUCAUAUGAUAUUAAGAUGUGCGUAAUCUUGGAUUCUGAACGGAAUUACUCCGAUUUCAGCUAUGCACAUUGAUUUAGUGUGAAAAAUCGAUCACCAAAUAUAACUAACCCUCUUGUUGUUUCCUGGUUAUGUUUACUUUUUGGUGUUCUGUUUGCAUUCUUGAGUUUUGACGUUAAACAAAGAGUAACUAAUACUAAUAAGGCUAUACUACUCGACUACAAUCCCAAAUUUAAGCCUUCAUUCCCUCCUAUUUGCAACCCUAAAUCGUAAGGAGGAACAAAAAGUAAAUCACGAUCAAUCAUAAAUCUAGUAACAUAAAUAGGUUAAGUGGGAUUUUGAGAAAAGAUGCCGAAGUGAAAUAGUAGACUAAGAAGACUCAUCUUUCUGAUUUACAUUCAAACUUUCCUAAGUUAUCUUUAUUAUUCUUUAUGAAGCAUCAACAACCGAAGGCAUGUGUAUUGAAGGUGGGUCCUAGGACCCACCUAACAUUUUACUAACAUUUUAAAAUCUAUUAUAUAUUAUAUAUAAAAAAAUUGGAGACCUACCUUACAAAUUAUAAGGACCUACCUAAUCAUGUCUAGAAAAGAAAUGUGUCAAACCAUUUGAAGUCAUAUCUUAUAUCUCAAUCCAUUUAAAAUAGUCUAAUGUCACACUCCACUUAAAUUUUAAUCAAUUGGUAAUAGCCUCGUCUAUUUAAACUUAAAUGAAGAAAAAAAUUAACAUAACUAUAUUUUGUGAAACGUCGCCUAUCAACAACAUCUCCGACUUCGAGAUAUGUACGUAACAAGAUCGCCUUUGAUUUAGAUAAAAUAAUGAAAAUGACUAUAAUUAUGGGAACUUUAAUAUAAAUUUUGAGUUUAUGUUUAAAUAUUUUAAGAUAUAUGACCUGACCCGAUCCUAUUUUGUUUAAUCUUUCAUUUCUUCGGUUUCACUUAAAUAAGGAACCACGUGAAUUUUGGUUCUAGAUUCGCCACUGACCAAGAAUAUGAAAUAAUUUAACAUUUGGUUUUCAUCUGUUCAUGGCUUCAUAAAGAGUAACAUUUAAUUUACAAUCGAUCAAAGACCAAUUAUGUGUAAAGCAUGUACUUGUAUUUGCUUCAUCCCAAAAAUACUAUAAGACAUGUGAGCAAAUAUAAGCAUUAAUUAGGCAACUUCAUUGUUGGAUUUUGUUUUUUCUUUCAACAACAAAAUUUACAUAGUAGCAUAGCACUAUCUUCUUGGCCGUGGGUUUGAAAUAACACUCAGGUUCGAAAGACGACAUUUAAUAGCUGAAAUUCAAACAUUUACUUGUGAAAUUGGUUCCUCAAAAAGAAAAGACAAAACUAGCCUCAUAUGAGGGGCGCAUGUUGAAGAAAACAGAUAAUUCCAUAAUGAAAAACUCAUAAAUAAGGACAAUUUUUGCAAUUUGAAAUUAUUUUGGACCUUAGUAAAAAAAUUACAAAUAAGAUGGAACAGUUUUGCAGUUUUUUUUAAAAAAAAAGAGGUAUAAUAAAAAAUAAUGAUUAUUGGUAAAAGAACAUUUUAAACAAUUAAUUUGAACGACCAAUAUGAUUAUGAGAAAUUAAAAAUCUUCAUAUCUUUUUUUCCUAUCUAUUUAAGAUGAUGAGAGGUGUACAAAUUUAACAUCCUAAUCAAAUUUAAACACUUGUCACUAUCUAAAAUAGAUAGGAAGAUAUUAAGAACAAAAAAUAAAAAAAUAUUAUCACAAUCUAAAAUAGAUAGGAAGAUAUAGGAACAAAAUAAGAAAAUAUUUAAUUUCUCAAUCAUGAUUAUAUUAGAUACUAAAAGAUACUCUCGGUAGUCAUAAGAGCAAUUUGGCUGGUUAAUACUAAAUAUGAAGGAACCGUAAUACGAAAUAGAUGCAAAAUUUGGAAUGUCGGUUUAACUAAACUUUCCAUAUUUUCAAGUUAUUUAAUGCCAAUUCUUAAUUAAAAUCAUGAUCUUCCAUAAACGGUUCGUUUGACUACAAAAGAGCGCCAGGCUCUUGUACUCUUCGGUAUUCAUAUUUCUUCUUCCUGAUCUCUCGUAUCCACCUUUGUUUUCAUCAAAUUACGAGGUUAAUCGUUUUCCUCGUUCUUGGUAUGCUCUUAGUCGUUUUCUUUCUCUUCAUCGAAAAUACAUAUGCGUUUUUGUAGGGUUUUAAACACCAGAUUCUUGGGUUCUGAAAGGAACACUUAGAUUUUAGUCGUUUUCUCCGGUUCCAGUAAAUAAUGCCACUUCCAAAACAGAACUAAUCUCUAGAAAUUGGCGACAGACGAUGAUGUCGGAGAGCAAGCGUUCUUAGCUGUUCUUCUUUCAUGCUCUGCAUUUUUUCUUCAGGUAUUUUUAUCCGUUCUCUAAACAAGUUAAUAGAAACGAAAUAAUCCUCUAACGGAAUUCUUCUGGUUUUGGUUUAGGAGAUGUGUGAUCCACACUACGACCCCGACGCGUUUUUGCCUUUGUGUCUUCCCAAAACCUAUUUCUAUCCAACUCCAACUCCAACCACAAUUUCUCUUUUCCACAAACCUUUCCGCUCUCCAAAUCCCCUGCAACAAUUCGAAUCAUUCACACUUGCUUACUCGGUAACAUUGUUUCUCCCUUCUUUGAUUUAUUUAUUUAUAUAUUAUUUUUGUAAUUAAUCAUAUGAUAUUAAGGUGUGCGUAAUCUUGGAUUCUGAAUGGAAUUACUCCAAUUUCAGCUAUGCACAUUGAUUUAGUGUGAAAAAUCGAUCACCAAAUAUAACUAACCCUCUUGUUGUUUCCUGGUUAUGUUUACUUUUUGGUGUUCUGUUUGCAUUCUUGAGUUUUGAUGUUAAACAAAGAGUAAUUAAUACUAAUAAGGCUAUACUACUCGACUACAAUCCCAAAUUUAAGCCUUCAUUCCCUCCUAUUUGCAACCCUAAAUUAAAGAAUGAUACGAAACAAAAAAUGUGACAGAUUACAAUUCCGAUUUCUUGAAUUUCUUAUUUUCAUUGACAGCUUCCACUCCUAAAAAAGACAUUCUACGGAC